AUGGGGGCUUGGAUGUCCCGGGUCUGGUUUCUCAUGUUCCCGGCCAAGGAGUACAAGAUCGUGGUCGUGGGGCUCGACAACGCCGGAAAGACCACCUCGCUCUACAAGCUCCACCUCGGCGAGGCGGUCACCGCCGCGCCCACCAUCGGCAGCAACGUCGAGGAGGUCGUGUUCAAGAAUAUACGCUUCGAGGUGUGGGAUCUAGGAGGACAAGAAAGCCUACGCACUUCAUGGGCGACAUACUAUAGUGGAACUCAUGCUGUCAUCGUGGUAAUCGACAGCACCGACCGUGCUCGGAUCAACAUCAUCAAGGAUGAGCUAUUCCGGUUGAUUCAACAUGCAGAUCUUGAAAACACGGUGGUCCUUGUGUUUGCGAACAAGCAGGAUCUCAAGGAUGCCAUGUCGGCGGCUGAGAUUACAGACGCCCUGUCCCUCCACAGCAUAAAGAACCACGACUGGCACAUACAGGCCUCGUGUGCGAUCACUGGUGAGGGCCUCUAUGAUGGGAUGGGAUGGAUAGCCCAGAAAGUUGCCGGAAAGGCCACGGCAAGCUGA
rnacentral:rRNA from 1 species